CUCCGGUUGAUCCUGCCGGACCUGACUGCUAUCGGAUUGGUACUAAGCCAUGCGAGUCAUUGUAGCAAUACAAGGCGGACGGCUCAGUAACACGUAGUCAACCUAACUCGUGGACGUGGAUAACCUCGGGAAACUGAGAAUAAACCACGAUAGAUCAUAGUGCCUGGAAUGGCUUAUGGUCCAAACAGUUUACUGCCAUGGGAUGGGACUGCGGCCUAUCAGCUUGUUGGUGAGGUAAUGGCCCACCAAGGCGAUUACAGGUACGGGCUCUGAGAGGAGAAGCCCGGAGAUGGGUACUGAGACACGGACCCAGGCCCUAUGGGGCGCAGCAGGCGAGAAACCUUAGCAAUGUGCGAAAGCACGACUGGGUCAGUCCGAGUGAUUCCUGAUAAAGGAGUCUUUUGCUUGUCCUAAAAGCACAGGUGAAUAAGGGGUGGGCAAGUCUGGUGUCAGCCGCCGCGGUAAUACCAGCACCCCGAGUGGUCAGGACGUUUAUUGGGCCUAAAGCAUCCGUAGCCGGCUCUGCAAGUCUUCGGUUAAAUCCACCUGCUCAACAGGUGGGCUGCUGGAGAUACUACAGAGCUAGGGAGUGGGAGAGGCAGACGGUAUUCAGUGGGUAGGGGUAAAAUCCUCUGAUCCAUUGAGGACCACCAGUGGCGAAGGCGGUCUGCCAGAACACGUUCGACGGUGAGGGAUGAAAGCUGGGGGAGCAAACCGGAUUAGAUACCCGGGUAGUCCCAGCUGUAAACGAUGCAAACUCGGUGAUGCAUUGGCUUAUGGCCAAUGCAGUGCCGCAGGGAAGCCGUUAAGUUUGCCGCCUGGGAAGUACGGACGCAAGUCUGAAACUUAAAGGAAUUGGCGGGGGAGCA
rnacentral:rRNA from 1 species